UACGUAGGGUGCGAGCGUUGUCCGGAAUUAUUGGGCGUAAAGAGCUCGUAGGCGGCCUGUUGCGUCGGUUGUGAAAGCCCGGGGCUUAACCCCGGGUCUGCAGUCGAUACGGGCAGGCUAGAGUUCGGUAGGGGAGAUCGGAAUUCCUGGUGUAGCGGUGAAAUGCGCAGAUAUCAGGAGGAACACCGGUGGCGAAGGCGGAUCUCUGGGCCGAUACUGACGCUGAGGAGCGAAAGCGUGGGAAGCGAACAGG
rnacentral:rRNA from 1 species